GAUGAACGCUAGCUACAGGCUUAACACAUGCAAGUCGCGGGGCAGCAUGGGGGUUGCUUGCAAUCCCUGAUGGCGACCGGCGCACGGGUGAGUAACGCGUAUCCAACCUGCCCUUCACCACGGGAUAACCCGGCGAAAGUCGGACUAAUACCGUAUGUUGUCCAUUGACGGCAUCCGAUUUGGACGAAAGGCUUAGCGGUGAGGGAUGGGGAUGCGUCCGAUUAGCUUGACGGCGGGGUAACGGCCCACCGUGGCUACGAUCGGUAGGGGUUCUGAGAGGAAGGUCCCCCACACUGGAACUGAGACACGGUCCAGACUCCUACGAGAGGCAGCAGUGAGGAAUAUUGGUCAAUGGGCGUAAGCCUGAACCAGCCAAGUAGCGUGCAGGAUGACGGCCCUAUGGGUUGUAAACUGCUUUUAUGCGGGGAUAAAGGGACCCACGUGUAGGUUUUUGCAGGUACCGCAUGAAUAAGGACCGGCUAAUUCCGUG
rnacentral:rRNA from 1 species